CAGCAGCCACGGGAAUACGGAGGGUGCAAGCGUUAAUCGGAAUUACUGGGCGUAAAGCGUGCGUGGGCGGUUCGUUAAGUCUGUUGUGAAAGCCCCGGGCUCAACCUGGGAAUGGCAAUGGAUACUGGCGAGCUAGAGUGUGUCAGAGGAUGGCGGAAUUCCCGGUGUAUCGGUGAAAUGCGUAGAGAUCGGGAGGAACAUCAGUGGCGAAGGCGGCCAUCUGGGACAACACUGACGCUGAGGCACGAAAGCGUGGGGAGCAAACAGGAUUAGAUACCCCCGUAGUCCCUGUCUCUUAUAC
rnacentral:rRNA from 1 species